rnacentral:rRNA from 1 species
UACGUAGGGGCUAGCGUUAUCCGGAAUUACUGGGCGUAAAGGGUGCGUAGGUGGUUUCUUAAGUCAGAGGUGAAAGGCUACGGCUCAACCGUAGUAAGCCUUUGUAAACUGAGAAACUUGAGUGCAGGAGAGGAGAGUAGAAUUCCUAGUGUAGCGGUGAAAUGCGUAGAGAUUAGGAAGAACACCAGUGGCGAAGGCGAUUCUCUGGACUGUAACUGACGCUGAGGCUCGAAAGCGUGGGGAGCAAACAGGAUUAGAUACCCUGGUAGUCCCUGA